rnacentral:lncRNA from 1 species
UUCUUUCACCUCGGCCUGUAGAUUGGCCCCGAUCUUGAUCUCUUUCUUGUCGUCUUCGGUACCAAUGUUGAUGGUCUCAAUCACCUCCUGAUAAGGUGUAACAGUUCAGGCCUCCUGUUUCAACAACCUGGCUAACUCUUCAGGCAAUUCAUAAUCUUCCUCAACCCCUUCUUGGGCUUGAUAGAUAGGAUUGUCGAAGUCAUACUUGGCCAUAGCAGUGUCGUUAGCAGUGAG